rnacentral:misc_RNA from 1 species
AACGAGUGUUUUAGGCUCAUCGCUUCACCAGUCACCACCCCGACAGAGACCGCCACCGUUGUCAAGCGUGUUGGGUGCACCGAGUCCGGCAGCAGGCGAAUUCAGACGCCGUCUUGCACUGCGUGAGAGGUGAAGGGCGGACUAGGCAGCAGAGGCACUAGCCGGCCGAAGAUUCUGGCAGCCCUCUCCGCGCCGAGGGGCAGCACCAGUCGCAACAACAACUCUCAAAGAGCUGGGAAGACAGAGCUGCCCGUCGGGUGCUCCGAUGAUCCGCCGUACAAGAGACGAUAAUGAGCUGCUCACAGGGGUGGAAGCUUGCCACGCGGGAAGACGACACACCACGGAGCUGCAUUUUCUUCUGCUAGAGUGUAUGCCGGCGCCGCUGUGUUGCGCGUGCACACAGGCUGGCAGCUUGUUGGCUUGGUUGCCCUGAUCAUGUGCAUACGAUGCGCACAACGAGAUUGCAUCCAGCCGACACACCGUCUUCAGGGCCUUUCCGGUGUAGACUUGGUAAGAGCGAUCCUUCGUUAUUAGACUCAGGGGGGUCCCCCACACUGCCACGCAGCUGUGCCAGACCGCGGUCCUCGGGCUAGAAGGCGCGGGAGCGCCGACUGUGGGGAGUUCGAGGCGGCAGUGCCACAGAAGGCGUGCAUCCAAGGAGAAGUGGAUAAGCGGAACGUGUAUGAGUGCGAUGGAUAGCGCGAGCGAGUCGCGAGACGACCCACGGCCAGCAGCAGGAAGCAGCGCACGUGCCUCUUCUCUCCCUCAGCUCCUGCACACCUAGCCAAGGACAGACAAAGGAAAAGGGAAAGCGAGCUUGAUGCUGCCCAGCAGGGGACCACGAUCAUCUUGCACUGGUGCACACACAAGACAGACAGCGGUUCCGCGAUGCGCACUCACGCGGCUGCUAUUGCCACUGGCAGGCAGAUGCUGUUGCCAGCUGUUUCUCAGAUAUGUUGGCCGCUCCCCUCCAUCGCAUCUUCCACCGCCUGCGGCGGAGCUCGCUCCAGUGCCGAGUGUACCGCUUCUUCAGCUUGACCUUCCUCUCCUCUUCUCUCUCCGUCACCUUGAUGCUCCCAUGGCUCACACCGACACUCGCGGCGAUUCUCAUCGCGACUGAACUCUUAUCCACAUCUCUUCAUCAUCUCCCAG